CAUUAUUCUGUCAUCACCAGAUACACCGAGAAAUGAGUAAAUCAAGAUAACUGACACAUUUCUCAUCUCACAAAUUAUCUUCGUGGGCUAAGAACAUUUUAGAUCUCGACGGCCCCUGUAGUUUCAAGGUUCCAGAGUCAUCUCACUGGCCAGCUGUACUUCAGUGACCCACAGCUUGGAGAGAGACUUAGAAAGGCAUUCUUUCUACACACUUUGAUCAUGACCCUCUAACAACUAAGCAGGAGAAGAGGAGAGUAUAUACUUGAAGAUGCGGAACCAGCAGAGAGCAAAGGGAGGACCACUUAUCUGGGAUGGCUUUCCUAGUCAUAGAGGAUGAAGGAUGUGAACUGGAUCUAGAAGCAAGCCUCAGGAAAGAACAACCAACACAGAUUGUCCGAACAGAGACCAUCAAUCAUAUAAGAACCACCAAAGCUGGGUCUUAGGGUAUAUGGACAUGUGGGUGAAAGCAUUAGAUGACCAGUUGGAACCUGCAUUUUGGCAUAUGGGGGCCAAAUGACCAACUUAUUUGUUAGACUGCCAUGGUAAACACAUGACUGGAGAGCAUAAGUACCAUUUAUUUUGUUGCAGUUCUGAAGUCUGGAAGUUCAAGGAUGCAGAGCAAGCUUCUCCCGAGAUUGCUUGCCUUUCUUUUGGCAUUGCCAAUCACCUCAUGCUUACUUGAAACUUCUCCUGGUAGUCACAGGUUGCUCACUGCUGUUGAUUUAUCUUUGCUAUCACGACUCUACCAAACUGGGCUACUGAUAUAUCCAUGAAGUGUUUGCGAGUGGAUCAAGCUACUGCUGUCUGCUGACCUGUAAACUGAAGAAGCAGAGGAGGAGGAAAAAGGGGGAAAGAAGGGAGAGGAGAAAUUUUAACUGAAGUGAGUCAAGUAGGAGAAGGAAGAGGAGGAAGAAGAAGAAGAAGAAGAAGAAGAAUAGGAAGGACUGAUUAUGAAACAAUGCAAAUCCUAAUAUAUGUGUGUAUUUCUUUGGAGUUUACACAGAGAUGGCUAUGUUCAAAUACCAACACACAGUUGAUCAUGAGCUGUAGAGCUAUGGCCAGACAACUUACCUAGGGAUCAUAUCUAGUUACAUGCCAAACUGUACAAUAAGAAAGUAUUGAAGAUGUUUUAAAUCAUUUGAUUAUAAACUUUUGAAUAGGCUUGUGGAAAGUGAACUCUUCCCAUCACUGGGUGUUGCUGUGUUGGCAGGUGUCUGUGGCUCCUGUCCUCUUAGGUUGCCAAAGAGGCAUAAAUAAUGCAAUGUGGAUGGACCUACAUGAGCUGUCUUGGCUGUGUUUCUGAAGUCAAGCACCCAGCCUGAAGCAGCAAAGUGUUAAUGUCCCUCCAGGGAGGCAGAUGCUCUGAACGAAGAGAAACAAUCGCCAUGAGAAGAAAGAAGAUCUCAGUUGGCCAGCUAACCAAGCAGUUAGUGGUUGGACCACCAGGGUCAAACAGAGACAGUGUCUGACCUGAAAGACUGGAACACUUGAACCACCAAUCACUUGGGUUACUCUCAAAUGUCUCUCCCCGGUUCCAGAGAACCAGUCUGAUGAGAACCAGUUAUCAGAGUAAGAUGAGAUCUAUUGGGGAGGUAUCCAGUGAGUUAUGAGAUUCUUCAGACAUAUUGAAGGUCUGAACGUCAUGGAAGCAGAAAUAGACUGGGGAAGAAAUAAAGAGGAGGGACCUUGGACCAUAUUCUGGUUCUAAGGAAGGUUUGGCCAGGGUGCAUCAUUUGGUCAUCCAUAGUAGUGUCUUGUGUCUUCCAAAUGGACCUGAAUUGAGGCCAUUGCCAUACCUGUCUGACUGAGAACAGGUCUCAGAAACCGUGGUCUUAAAUGAGCUUGACAGUGGACCCCUUUUACUAUUACACUGUAUCUGAGUGUCA
rnacentral:lncRNA from 1 species